GACGUAGGGCGCGAGCGUUGUCCGGAUUUAUUGGGCGGAAAGAGCUCGUAGGCGGCUUGUCGCGUCGUCCGUGAAAACUUGGGGCUCAACCCCAAGCUUGCGGUCGAUACGGGCAGGCUAGAGUUCGGUAGGGGAGACUGGAAUUCCUGGUGUAGCGGUGAAAUGCGCAGAUAUCAGGAGGAACACCGGUGGCGAAGGCGGGUCUCUGGGCCGAUACUGACGCUGAGGAGCGAAAGCGUGGGGAGCGAACAGG
rnacentral:rRNA from 1 species